GAAGAGGGAUGCGGGACACACCUUCUACAUGUGAUUGUCUUUCCAUUUUGCCUAUUGAAAAACUUAAGAGAAGAUGAUUACAUGGCCAGAAGGCUCAAGGUGAACAGCUGGAAGUGCCUCCCAAACCAGGCAGGUGGCUUUGCCUGGGCUCACGCCCCUCCACUCCCUCACAUAAGCGCCCUCCCGCAAAAUGUGACACCUGUCAGGGACCUCAUCUGAGUGUGAC
rnacentral:lncRNA from 1 species